GAUGAACGCUAGCUACAGGCUUAACACAUGCAAGUCGAGGGGCAGCAUGAACAUAGCUUGCUAUGUUUGAUGGCGACCGGCGCACGGGUGCGUAACACGUAUCCAAUCUGCCCGUUACUCGGGGAUAGCCUUCUGAAAGGAAGAUUAAUACCCGAUGGCAUGUAUUUCCGGCAUCGGAGAUACAUUAAAGAUUUAUCGGUAACGGAUGAGGAUGCGUACGAUUAGCUGGUUGGCGGGGUAACGGCCCACCAAGGCGACGAUCGUUAGGGGUUCUGAGAGGAAGGUCCCCCACACUGGAACUGAGACACGGUCCAGACUCCUACGGGAGGCAGCAGUGAGGAAUAUUGGUCAAUGGUCGAGAGACUGAACCAGCCAAGUAGCGUGAAGGAUGACUGCCCUACGGGUUGUAAACUUCUUUUGUUUGGGAAUAAAUGAUACUACGUGUAGUAUUUUGCAUGUACCUUACGAAUAAGCAUCGGCUAAUUCCGUGCCAG
rnacentral:rRNA from 1 species